rnacentral:tRNA from 1 species
AAAAUUUUAGUUUAUAUUUUAAAAUUUUUUUUUUACAAAAAAAUGAAAUUAUUUAUUUUAAUAAAUUUUA